AAUAUUUGAAAAUGGGGGCAACGCUGAUCCAGCCAUGCCGCGUGUGUGAAGAAGGUCUUAGGAUUGCAAAGCACUUUAAGCUGGGAGGAAGGGCCUUAGGUUAAUACCCUGAAGUUUUGACGUUACCAACCGAAUAAGCACCGGCUAACUCAGUGCCAGCAGCCGCGGUAAUACAGAGGGUGCAAGCGUUAAUCGGAAUUACUGGGCGUAAAGCGCGCGUAGGUGGUUCAGUAAGAUGGGUGUGAAAUCCCCGGGCUUAACCUGGGAACUGCUUUCAUAACUGCUGAGCUAGAGUACGGUAGAGGGUAGUGGAAUUUCCUGUGUAGCGGUGAAAUGCGUAGAUAUAGGAAGGAACACCAGUGGCGAAGGCGACUACCUGGACUGAUACUGACACUGAGGUGCGAAAGCGUGGGGAGCAAACA
rnacentral:rRNA from 1 species